rnacentral:lncRNA from 1 species
GUAGGUUUUUGUGUCAUUUUUAAUGAGAACAUACAGCUGUGCAAAUUGUCAUAAUUAUAGUUUUUGCCUACUUUCAAGUGCCUCCUUCUUUUUGGUGAAAAAACUCCCUACAGCAAGCUGUCUUCCCCACAUCCAACAACUGGUAUGUCCCUCUCAGAGUACUGUUGGAUGGUUUUCAAGUGAUGGGAUGCCAAAAGGGAACAGUGGAGAUCUUGAUGCUGUGGAGGGUAAAAGUGACAGCAAUGUUCUGCCUGAGACCACAGGAUCCUUCUGGAGGUUGCCACUCCAGGGAUUGCUGUUCUGACUCCAGCUUGUAGUGGUGACACCAUGUCUUAUCACUGGUAACGAUGUGAUAAAGGAAAGUGGAUGAAGGAAAUUGUUACCUUCAGCCUCCUGUUGGUUCAGAAAUCCAGGUGAAAUCAAGUUGAGUGUUUGCCACGCAAUUUGUUUUCAGUGGAACCAUGACUUCUGAACAAGCAGUUCCUUAGAAGUCAUUCUGGCCAACUCACGACACG